GCCUGGGUGGCUCAGUUGGUUAAGCGUCUGACUUCAACUCAGGUCAUGGUCUCAUGGUUCGUGGGUUUGAGCCCUGCGUCGGGCU
rnacentral:tRNA from 1 species